CUGAGGCCAAUUGAUUUGUUUGGGCAAAAAUAUGGUUAGUUUGAGCAAUUCCAAUUCAUCAGUCUUACAUUGGCAAUCAAGGAGUCACGAAUAGAUGUAAUAGAUAGUUGGGUGCCAUGAUAAAUCCAUAUCCAUAUUUGAUCAUGAGCAGUGAAUGACACAAUUACCUUUAGCUUAUUAUUAUUAUUGUUAUUAUUACUUUCCUUUCACAUGGUCCAUUGGAUAUCUUCUCGUUCCGUACACUAUAAUCUGAUGUAACCAAAAAAAAGAAAAUACAACACACCACCCAAACCCGGUCCAAUCCGGUCUACCAUGCACCAGAAUCAAGAAAAGCCAUUGAGCCGACCCCGGACCCCAACCUAAGCCGAGCGAGACCAGCUUGUCCCGUGGGUCCCACUCCCCAGUCCUCUCUCCAAGUGCACGUCCUCGGUGAAAGUAAAAGCUCUCCAUUUUCCCCACUAUAAAUACCUUCUCCCUCCUCCCUUCUCUCUGGCGCUCUCUCCUUUCAAGUUUCCCGAGAGAGAGAG
rnacentral:lncRNA from 1 species